CGGGAGGCUCUCUCUGGGAGGGAGGCAGGGAUGGGGUACGCUGCACCCUCUGGGACAGCCCGCUUGAGCCCUUCUGGGCUGGAGGUCCGGAUUAGUGGCCCAGCCCUGGAAUUUCGUGAUUGUUUGAAUCUCAGUCCCUGCUGUGAAUUAGCUUUAGAACGUAAAUGGUUAGGAAUGGCCUUCCUGAAGUCCCAACCAUUGGGAGGCAGAAGCAGGAAAAUGGCUAGUUAGGAGGCAGCACUGGCAACCUUGCAAGAUCCUGCCUCAAGAUAAAUGUUUCUUUUGAAUCUAAAAAAGAAAAAAAAAAAAUGAUCCCAGUGCAGUGGCUGGCUUGUAAUCCCAGUGGCUUGGGAGGCCCAGAUAGG
rnacentral:lncRNA from 1 species